UUCGCUGUUGGCGCUAAAAUUUUGAUCGUAAUUAUAGCUGAUUUCAUUGGUUGGAAUUGUUCCAAACAUUGGUGACGUCUGCGGUUGCUGUGCGAUAGUGUUCAUGGAUGAUUAGAGGGUGCCUUGUUUGGUUCUUGUUGCUCUAUGUUUUUAAAGAAUUUAACAUAAUUUUUCGACAAAAGAGAUUCGUACAGGUUUAUCAUUGUGGAAGAGGCUCGUGCUCUUGAUUUAAAUUUUUUUAGAAGUUCAGAAAGUGAUGGAAAAAUUGCUGUGAGUUAUUUUGUGUGACUUUGUGAGCUAUACCAAGCUCAGUUUUCGCUGGGAAAGGUGAUACUCACGCCAUGUUCCGAGGCCUGAUUUACUUAAGUGU